GAUGAACGCUAGCUACAGGCUUAACACAUGCAAGUCGCGGGGCAUCAUGGAGGUUGCUUGCAAUUUCUGAUGGCGACCGGCGCACGGGUGAGUAACGCGUAUCCAACCUUCCCAUUACUACGGCAUACCCCGUUGAAAGGCGGCCUAAUUCCGUAUGCAGUCCGAAGCAGUCAUCUAAUUUGGACGAAAGGUAUAUUCUAUCGGUAAUGGAUGGGGAUGCGUCCGAUUAGCCAGCCGGCGGGGUAACGGCCCACCGGGGCAUCGAUCGGUAGGGGUUCUGAGAGGAAGGUCCCCCACACUGGAACUGAGACACGGUCCAGACUCCUACGGGAGGCAGCAGUGAGGAAUAUUGGUCAAUGGGCGUAAGCCUGAACCAGCCAAGUAGCGUGCAGGAUGACGGCCCUAUGGGUUGUAAACUGUUUUUAUGCGGGGAUAAAGUUGGGGACGGUCCCUUUUU
rnacentral:rRNA from 1 species